rnacentral:rRNA from 1 species
AGGAGUUUGAUCCUGGCUCAGGAUGAACGCUAGCGGCAGGCUUAAUACAUGCAAGUCGUGGGGCAGCACAGUGUAGCAAUACAUGGGUGGCGACCGGCAAACGGGUGCGGAACACGUACGCAACCUUCCUUUAACUGGAGAAUAGCCCGGGGAAACCCGGAUUAAUACUCCGUAACAUUAUGAAGUGGCAUCACUUUAUAAUUAUAGCUCCGGCGGUUGAAGAUGGGCGUGCGUCUGAUUAGGUAGUUGGCGGGGUAACGGCCCACCAAGCCUACGAUCAGUAACUGGUGUGAGAGCACGACCAGUCACACGGGCACUGAGACACGGGCCCGACUCCUACGGGAGGCAGCAGUAAGGAAUAUUGGUCAAUGGACGCAAGUCUGAACCAGCCAUGCCGCGUGGAGGAUGAAGGUCCUCUGGAUUGUAAACUUCUUUUAUUUGGGAAGAAACCCCCGAUUUCUAUUGGGGUUGACGGUACCAGAUGAAUAAGCACCGGCUAACUCCGUGCCAGCAGCCGCGGUAAUACGGAGGGUGCAAGCGUUAUCCGGAUUCACUGGGUUUAAAGGGUGCGUAGGCGGGUUGGUAAGUCCGUGGCUGAAAUCUCCAAGCUUAACUUGGAAACUGCCGUGGAUACUAUCAAUCUUGAAUAUAGUGGAGGUUGAGCGGAAUUAUGUCAUGUAGCGGUGA